rnacentral:tRNA from 1 species
AGAAAUAUGUCUGAUAAAAGAGUUACUUUGAUUCAGUAAAUCAUAGAGGUUUAAAUCCUCUUAUUUCUA